rnacentral:tRNA from 1 species
GCGGUUGUGGCGAAGUGGUUAACGCACCAGAUUGUGGCUCUGGCACUCGUGGGUUCGAUUCCCAUCAAUCGCCCCAUU